rnacentral:misc_RNA from 1 species
GAUGAAGAACGUAGCGAAAUGCGAUAAGUAAUGUGAAUUGCAGAAUUCAGUGAAUCAUCGAAUCUUUGAACGAACAUUGCGCCCGUCAGUAUUCUGGCGGGCAUGCCUGUUCGAGCGUCAUUACGCCCCUCAAGUCCCCUGUGGACUUGGUGUUGGGGAUCGGCGAGGCUGGUUUUCCAGCACAGCCGUCCCUUAAAUUAAUUGGCGGUCUCGCCGUGGCCCUCCUCUGCGCAGUAGUAAAACACUCGCAACAGGAGCCCGGCGCGGUCCACUGCCGUAAAACCCCCCAACUUUUUAUAGUUGACCUCGAAUCAGGUAGGACUACCCGCUGAACUUAAGCAUAUCAAUAAGCGGAGGA